rnacentral:rRNA from 1 species
UGGGGAAUAUUGGACAAUGGAGGAAACUCUGAUCCAGCAAUGCGGUGGGUGUGAAGAAGGUUGUAGGACAGUAAAACACUUUGAGGAGGGAAGAAAAAAAUGACGGUACAUACAGAAGAAGCAACGGAUAAAUACGUGGCAGCAGCCGCGGUAAUACGUAUGUUGCGAGCGUUAUCCGGAAUUAUUGGGCUUAAAGGGCAUCUAGGCGGUUCUGUAAGACAGAUGUGAAAGCCCCGGGCUCAACCUGGGAAUGGCAUUUGUGACUGCAGGACUAGAGUUCAUCAGAGGGGGGUGGAAUUCCAAGUGUAGCAGUGAAAUGCGUAGAUAUUUGGAAGAACACCAAUGGCGAAGGCAGCCCCCUGGGAUGCGACUGACGCUCAUGCACGAAAGCGUGGGGAGCAAACAGG